rnacentral:snRNA from 1 species
GAUACAGAAAUUGGAAUGAUACAGAGAUUGGCAUGGUCCCUAUGCAAGGAUGACAUGCAAAUUUAUAAAGUGUUCCAUAUUAAA